rnacentral:sRNA from 1 species
AUACAUCUAGAUCCAUACCCCUAAACUCCCUAGAUGUUUUUUGGAUAGCGUAAAUAAACGCUAUCCCUUUUUG